AGUUGUGCCCCUACUUUCUAAUGGAUAUGCAGCUGUGUAUUCCUAAGAAAAGUAUAUGAGCUAGGAAUUCGACUACUAGCUCAAGGACCAUCAGGGAGCUGAAUUUUUACAAUGUUUUAGAACUGAGGCAUAGCUAAAGCCCGCAGGUUUUGAAACAUUAAAGUGUAUUUAGUUCAUGUAGUUCUGUGUAUUCCAAGACCCCAAAGAAAGAAAAAGAAGAAAAGAUCAGGAAAAACAUUCCUCCAAGAACAUGUAGAGCACGACAUGGAAAAUAUAAUAUAUAGUUGCUGUGCAUAUUAAUUUGUAGAGUACACCAUCAGUUUAAAGGUAAUCUCGGACUCUGUGCUCCUUCGCUAUUUAAAUUAAACCUACCAGACUUCCAUUAUGUGAUAAGCUAUUGAUAAAUUUUCUAAGAACAAAAGCUUUCUUUUUACAGUCCCAGUUGCAACAUGACAUCAAUUUUUCCUUAGGGGGUCUAAAAUUAAUUAGAUGAUUCCUAGCGCUUAUAGCAUUAUCUAUCUGAGGGAGCUUUUGUUGUUCGGAUUAUACCAAAGAGUCCAGGUACCACAAAAUUCAGAGUAGUUCAGCGAGAGAUAAAUAGGUUUAUCAUGUCUACCUUUUUUUGUAUAAAGUUCAGUUGGCAAUAUUUGAAGAAUACAAGGAGCUGUCAGGUGAGUACGGAUCAAAUGAAGAAUGGGCAAAAUGCUCAGGUGUUCAAAUAGUUCUAUUUUUUCUACAUUCAGCCAACUGGAGUAUCCCGCUCUCCCUUCUAUAGGUUCUACAUUUCAAUCCUUAUUUUGUUGAAUCAUCAGGUACUUGCAUCCUAUUGUUCAAGAUGUGUAAUUUUUCUGUAAGUUUUCUGACAGUUAACAAAAUCAUUGACUUAUGAAAGAACUCUUAGUGACGAAAGUGUACAUGCAAUGAGUUAUGCAGUUCACAUACAAUUUUUACCAACAGAUAGUUUCCUUUACUUAAUUGGUUCAUUUAUUAUUCUGUAGUAAUCAAUCAUGUAUUCUUAGAGUUUCGAAGGAUCUCACAUUUCAUGUUGUCUAUAACUAAGCAUGCUUCUAACAAGGGUGAAGGAAAUAUUGUGUGGGAAUGAGUGGAAAUCUAAGCAUUCCUAUAUAUAUAUAGUGUUACUAUUCAUCACCCAGGAUGCAGAAUAAGUUAUUCUUCACCCGAGGUAAUCUUACGAUCACUCUUCCUAAAUAAAUUACGUUUAGAAUAUAAAUAGUUACAUGCACAUUAAUUCAAUAUGUAAAAUUUGGUCUAAAAAAAGUUAUAAGAUCAGAAAAAUCACAUUUUAUGUAUGUUUUACAAUAUGUUUUUACAUUUGUAAUUUUAUGUAACAUAAAAUAUUUUUUACGGCGAGUACAUAUUUUUUUACGUUCUUUUUUUAUGUAUGAAAUAAGACAAAAUUUACAAAACGUAAAAAUACGGUGCAUUGAUGUCAAAAUAGGGAGGGGGUGAAGAAUAACUAUUCCUCACCCAGGGUGACGAAUAGGGCGAUGUUACUAGUAACAGAAUAAUAUUCUGUUACUAUCAGCUCUUAUAAGGGCGCGAUGCAAUUUUUCACUCUCCAAAAAACCAACCGGAGCAACUCAAAUGGCCCGCUGAAGCCCAUAACACGACCUGCUAGCGCCGCCGUCUUCCUCCCCAGGCCCCCGCUCGCGCCGCCGCCUUCCUCCCCCGCCCCCCGCUCGCGCCGCCGCCUUCCUCCCCAGGCCCCCGCUCGCGCCGCCGCCUUCCUCCCCCGGCCCCCGCUCGCGCCCCGCCGCCUUCUUCCCCCGGCCCCCGCUCGCGCCGCCGCUUUCCUCCUCUGUCCCCCAUCGCGCCGCCGUCUUCCCGCACUUGCCACCUAUCGCGCCGCCGCCCUCCCCUGCCCCCCAGCUCGCGCCACGGCCCGCCCUCUCCUGCAGUCCGGUGACCAAGAUGCUUCAGUCCAAAUCCAUGUGCGGGGAGCUACGAGGAUGAAUUGCUUUUUGGUUCAACUCUGAUGCAUUGUCGAUGGGAUUACGUACAAGCCAUUUUUCAAUGCAACAAGAAGAUGUACGAAAACUUGUGCCGAUGUACCUUGUCCUGAAGCUCCUAUACGCACUUAUUUGCCCAGAUGUAUGAAUCUGACCGUAAGAACAAGAUUCGUCGAUGCUCCUCUUUCUCGGCUAGUGGGCCAACACGGGUGUCCUCAUGGCGGCCUCCCUCCGACGAUCUGAGGUGCCCUCAUGGCCUCCUCUGCUUCCUACCUAGCAGAUCACGGCGGCCCUCCCCCACUUGCUGCUCAUCAUCAUCGAUCUCAACAACGAAGAGGGGCCAAAAUAAACGUGAACCUCGUCGCCCUCUUCAUGGUGAUCCAAUUUUGAAAAGUUCACUCCAUCUGCAUGUGCAAGUUCACUGCCUCGCCGGCCUGCGGCUCCUCCAUGGACGCCUAGCUCCUCUACUAGAGCCACCGCGGCCCACGACAGCCCAAGGUGGCGGAGUUCGUUGCGUCCAUCAGUCCAACCCCAUGGCUUCAGGCUGGCCGAGUUUUGUCGCGGCCGUCAGUUCGGACACCUGCGUCACUGCGUGCGUUGCUACCACUGCCAUUUGCGUCACUGCAUGCUCCGUCACCGGCCUCAUGCGCACCAUGACCCCUGGCGCACUCCUUCCUCUCCGUGACGCUGCUCGUGCCCUCCCAGGCUUGAUCUCCUGCUGCAGCGAUGAGCUCCUGUACAUUGCUGAAGUUUCGUACCUGACGGCACCAGAACGAGGAUUCCGCAGCCAGGCUGGACCCCAGUUCGUGCCUCCCUCUCUCUCCCUUAGCUACAUCAUCACUGUUGCAGUGCUGCUGAUUGAUUUCUUGUAGUGAACUGUGAUGCUCUACUGAUGGAGAGAAGUUUGGGAAACUGCACAAAUAUUGGUAUUUUGGAGUUAUGAAUUUGGUGCUCCGUAGGUGCCUGCUGGUAUAUGCAAGUGCUUAAAAGUAUUUAGGUGGGUGGUUCGACACCGCUGCGUCCAGCAGUCCAACACCGCCGCCGGAGGCCGUUCACUGUCGCAAUGCCUACUUUCGCCCGCGCCUCCUUCCCGGUCAUCGUGAGGUAAACCUUGCUCGAAAUCUCUCUUCUCCAUCUCCCGACGGCGAAGAUCUCCGUGCCUCCUGUUUGAACCGACAUUUUAUUUUGAAUUGAACUAGUGCCGCUUUGAUUCAGACCUGACGGAAGAAGGCAGAACCUCUGUCUCGUACGCAGUAAUAUUGCUCUCUCAUCUCUCAUCUCGUAGGCAGUAAUAUUGCUCUCUCAUCUCUCAUCUCGUAGGCAGUAAUAUUUUGAUGAAUGUGUUACAACACAAAUGUCGUAUUGACAUUCAGUAGCUUAGAGAGAGUAGCACAGAGAAACAUUGUUGUGUUGUGGAUGACAAAGAACACAUGUGACAGCAAGUCUAGGUAUUACUACAUGGGGAGUACAAAAUUACUUUUGCUGAGAGAUCACUUGAAUCCUUGAUAGCUACUAGCCAUAGGAACUUAACCCAGAAAAAAUGUGCGAAAAAGAAACAUUUUGUACUACGAUUAGUCAUUGAUGGCGUAUAAUGUUAUAUUUUCUUACUUCCCUAGCGUUGAAUUAGAACAGCAUUUUCAAGAGCUGCAUUAGCUCAUUACUUAUCUCUUGUACUGUUAAUUUUAUUUUCAAAACCGAACUUGUACUGGGUACAUGAGUUCCGAUAGUAGCUUCUCUUUCACAAAUUUUACAUAAUCAAACAUUCUUGAUGUGCUGCCUUUCUUCCAGAUAUAUAGAUUCACUUUUGAAUUCGAUUCUCAAAUCAGACAUUCAUAAUUCUAUUGCCAGUUCUGAAACAAAGAAAUGUUUGCGUAACAGACCCAUAAAAAACACCAAAACGAAUCCCCAUCCUUGGUAACUUGCUGGCUUUGAUCUUCCAGGGCAGCAUGAAUGAUCAGUACUCCCUUUAAUCAACGUGCGCUGAUCGAGCCAUAGUAGCAUCUCAUUUGUCCUAAAUUCUUCCACUCUCUGGAAAGAAAGUCCCGGAAUGGAUGUGAACAGAGUAUACUCCCAUGGUUUUGCGAGAAAUCGUACAAUCAGAGUACCGUAGUACAUGUGUGUAUUGUGAUUUUAAUUGUGAGUUGGAGUUCAGAAAUAAGAUAACAAAAAGGUACAUAAAAGAACCCAAAAGCAUUCGGUACUUCUUGAAACCUAAAGUUCAGUUCAACAUGUUUUUUAUCAUCAGCUCGUUAAGAACCCCACAAAUGGUUCAAUGUGUGUGUUCAAAAAGAUAGCUGGCUAUAUAUAAAAAAAUCAGUAGCUCGGCAAAAAGGAGUUCAUAUCAGUUCAGACUUGAGAGGCCUUGUAAAAUCACCAGUCUUUGAACCUUUAACCUGUCAUUAUAUUGCUGACUCCCCUAUAUGUAGGUGCUUGUCCAGCAGGCUAUAGAAGGCUAUAUAUAAAUGCUGUUUUUGAUGUCUUGUAGUGCAUAGAAGGCUUAAAAAAUCAUGUUUCUCUAGUUGAAAAUUUUGAUGUUAUGUAGGUGCUUGUUAGGACUUGGGCACGAGCUCGUCCAGCAGGGGUGCUGGCAGCCGUCCAAGUGGAGUGUGUUGAAAACAGUACGAGUAGAAUCACGGGUCGCGGCCACCAACUUCACCAAGUGCUGCACAUCCGUCCAAGUCGAGCACACACACAGGGAGAACACCAGCGCCUUUGCUUUGCACAUUGCUUGGUCAUGCAUAAUUGCUGAUGGAUGCAGCAAGUGUUUUAUUACUUUGAUCUUCUACAAGACUCAAUUUUGUCUCAGUUUUCAUGGAUGCUAGCCGGCAAGUGACAUAAUUUUGGUUGCCAUUUCUCUAUGUAGCAGAUUCCAUCCGCACAAAAAAUGCUACUGCAAAUUCUUCUAUGUAAAAUAUGAAUAAGGUUCAAUUCACAAAAACAUGUGGAAGUUCGCUUGGGAAAUUCUGCAGUCUAUUUGAUUAUGUCAGGAUGUACAGAAUGACGACUCUUUAUUGUGUGCCUUCAGCACAAUUUAAAAUUACUCAUUGACCGUA